AGAAAAGACACAGAAGAAGGUUAAAAGUGGAAGAUGUUGCACACUAGUGCUUUGCCCCUGGCAUCGUUCUCAAGCAGCUGAUCAGGACUGGAAAGGAAAUGUAACCUACUAAAAAGGAGCAAGGUGUUUCACAGACAUACGGCACAAUAGUCUGUACCCCAAAAUGCUUUUCACAGAAAAAGAAAAACAGAUGGAGAAUAGGUGGAGAAAGUUUGAAAUGCAUCUUCUAAGAUGUAAAGCAGUGAAGAUGACUAAUAUGAGAAUAUGGCAUUUCACUGAAAACCUAAUGAAGGCUUCUGAAAACUACAGUAUCUCAUCACCACGCUGACUACAUUGACUGCAUUAUAGUCAAUACCAUAUUGACUGCAAGAGUAUAAAGUAUUCCCUCUGUCCUGAUGAAAGUAACUUAACUGGGCUUUCUGGCCCAAAAUUGAUGCAUAAAAGAGUAUAUUUUUCCUGUUUCAUGAAUUUUGUAUAACUUAUUCUUGACAAUUUCUGUAGUAAUUACAUCCUGUACCCUUGACCAAUGUAAACUUUAUUUUUGCUUCAGAUUUUUAGGGCCUUUUGAGAAUGAUCAUUAAAGUAAUAGCAAUAUUUUUUUAAUGUAUAAUUUAUCAGCAGAGCCCCAAAUUAAUGCCUGCAUUGCAUGGGUUUCUAGCUCAAAAGACUCUAGAGGAAACAAUUACUUUUAGAAAGAUUAGAUUACCUCACUUAUCAGGUAUGCUUAAAUUAAAACAUCCUAUUUAUUUAAAA